CCUACAGGAGGCAGCAGUGAGGAAUAUUGGUCAAUGGCCGAGAGGCUGAACCAGCCAAGUCGCGUGAGGGAAGACGGCCCUACGGGUUGUAAACCUCUUUUGUCGGGGAGCAAAGCGAGUCACGUGUGACUCAUUGAGAGUACCCGAAGAAAAAGCAUCGGCUAACUCCGUGCCAGCAGCCGCGGUAAUACGGAGGAUGCGAGCGUUAUCCGGAUUUAUUGGGUUUAAAGGGUGCGCAGGCGGAGGUGCAAGUCAGCGGUCAAAUUGCGGGGCUCAACCCCGUACUGCCGUUGAAACUGCAGCCCUUGAGUGCGCGAGAAGUAUGCGGAAUGCGUGGUGUAGCGGUGAAAUGCAUAGAUAUCACGCAGAACUCCGAUUGCGAAGGCAGCAUACCGGCGCGCAACUGACGCUCAUGCACGAAAGCGUGGGUAUCGAACAGGAUUAGAUACCCCAGUAGUC
rnacentral:rRNA from 1 species